CAUAGCAAAUAUGUGAAAGCCAGCCAGACUCUCAAUGGCAUCCAGAAACAUAAACUACAUAGAAAAGACAUGAAAGCCAGCCAGGCUUGGCUUCGAAUCCCAGCACUUUGGAAGGCUGUGGCAGGAGGGUUGCUUGAUCUCAGAAGCUUGAAACUAGCCUAGGCAACAUAGUGAGCCCUCAUCUCUACUGAAAAUCAGAAAAAUUACCCGGGUUUGGUGGUGUGAGCCUGUAGUCCCAGGAAUCAGUGGAUGAGGCCCUAGGAUGUCAUAGGCCUGAGAAUUCCAUGCUGCAGUGAGCUGUGAUUGUGCCACUGUACUCCAGCCUGGGUGAAAGAGUGAGAUCCUGUGCAGAAACAAAAGAAGAAAAAAAGAGAUGUGAAAGCCUAUAUAUUGAAGACUACCAAGUACUGCUUAGAGCAGUUAAAGACCUUUGGAAUAGAAAAUGUUUCUUCUUGCAUUUCAAGAUUGCUUUUGUUUUGGGGGGACACACUAUUUUUUAGGAAUAUGAAGUUCUUCUUAGGCAUUCCUGUAAAAAAGGCCACUUCUUGAUAGGAUUGUAUUGAAUCUGUGGGUUGCUUUGAGUUGUAUUUUUAUCUUAACCAUGUUACAACUUCCAACCCAUGGACACAAGAUGUCUGUCCAUUGAUUUAGGUCUUCCUGAAUCUCCUCGAGCAAUGUUCUGUAGUUGUCUGUGUACAAGUACUGCACCUUCUUGAACAAAUUUAUUCCCAGGCAUAUUAUUCUUACAAGUGCUAUUAUAAAUGAAAUCAUUGUGUCAAUUUUCUUCUCAGAUUGUUCAUUGCUAACACAACUGAUUGUUUACUGAAAGUUUGCUGAAUUCACUUAUUAACUCUAGUAGUGUGUGUAUGUGAGUGUGUGUGUGUGUGUGUGUGUGU
rnacentral:lncRNA from 10 species